GUUUAAGUUUCUGCUUUGUUUUCUAGGCUGGAGCAUGCUGGGGUCUCCCCGGGGGCUCUUCAGAGUGAGGGAGUCCUGAGGCCGGGAGUCUGGGAACCACUGCUGUGCACUGUUUGGCACAACACUAGCUGAGGCCCCUUGUAGAAAUGUUCUUCCCAGACCUGCAGCAGGAAAGACACAGCGUGAGUGGGGAUGUCCUUUAUUCCCAGAGGCGCACACAGCCAUGUAACUUCAGCCUCGGGGAGAGACCGUCCGGCAGCAGUAGAUCAAGACUGCAAGACUCAGAGUCCAGCUGGCCCCGUGGGCAGGGCCCCAUCUCCCCUGAACCCAUCAGCCCACAAAUACAGCUCCCCUAAUGAUGACACUCCCUGAUACCACAGAGAAAUCCUGGGAACAGCCAUAGGAUGCCACCUUGGGAGGCUGUGGGGAGUGUUUCUGAGGCUCAUCCAAGAGUGGGCUGGCUCAACUCCAUCAGGGCUGCCAGACAGCUUCCCGGGUCACCUGUGACCCA
rnacentral:lncRNA from 1 species